rnacentral:rRNA from 1 species
UACAGAGGGGGCAAGCGUUAUUCGGAAUUAUUGGGCGUAAAGGGCGCGUAGGCGGCUUGUCAAGUCAGGGGUGAAAUCCGGCAGCUUAACCGGGGAACUGCGUCUGAUACUGGAUGGCUAGAGAUUGGGAGAGGGAUGCGGAAUUCCAGGUGUAGCGGUGAAAUGCGUAGAUAUCUGGAGGAACACCGGUGGCGAAGGCGGCAUCCUGGACCAACACUGACGCUGAGGAGCGAAAGCCAGGGGAGCAAACGGG